UCUCUCUCUCUCUCUCUCUCUACGUCUGUCUGUCUGUCUGUCCCCUCUCUUCCUUUACCUUUAUCCCUCGCAUUUGGCCGUCUCCCCCACCACAAUCAUGGAUCUCGCGGCGAGAUGUUUGCUUCUCCUACCCUGCUUCGGCGUGAUACUGGCCCUCGAUUUGGAAGCGAUCGACCCGAGCUACUUCGUGGAGCCCGUUGCCACAUCAGAUGUGAUCGACUACAAGGAUCCCUGCAAAGCUGCUGCCUUUCUGGGAGACAUAGCUCUAGAUGAGGAGGACUUACGAUCAUUUAAAGUAGACAGAAUAAUAGAUUUGGCCACCAGAACGGUCCAGACUGUCAAUCGCACAAACACAGGAUCAAGCAAUCAGAAUAGCCAAAACAGACAAGGCGCUCGCCGCAGGAAACGGGCUGCCACGUCCAGACCCGAGCGUGUUUGGCCUGAAGGUGUUAUUCCAUAUGUCAUCAGUGGUAAUUUUAGUGGCAGUCAGCGAGCUAUAUUCCGCCAAGCCAUGCGGCACUGGGAGAAGCACACCUGUGUGACCUUCAUUGAGAGGACACAGGAGGAGAGCUACAUUGUCUUCACCUACCGACCAUGUGGGUGCUGCUCCUACGUGGGCCGCCGUGGAGGAGGCCCCCAGGCUAUAUCAAUUGGAAAGAACUGUGACAAGUUUGGCAUCGUAGUGCACGAGCUGGGUCAUGUGAUCGGGUUUUGGCACGAACACACCCGGCCCGAUCGAGACGAACACGUCAGCAUUAUCAGAGACAACAUUCAACCAGGACAGGAGUACAACUUUUUGAAAAUGGAGCCUGGGGAGGUGGAUUCUUUGGGAGAAGUCUACGAUUUUGACAGUAUCAUGCACUACGCCCGCAAUACAUUCUCCAGGGGCAUCUUCUUGGACACCAUCCUGCCGCGGUACGAUGUGAACGGUGUGCGACCACCCAUUGGCCAGAGAACCAGACUUAGCAAAGGGGAUAUCGCACAGGCACGCAAACUCUACAAAUGCUCCAGAUGUGGGGACAGUCUUCAGGAUAGCAGCGGGAAUUUUUCCUCUCCAGGUUUCCCCAAUGGGUACUCCGCCUACAUGCACUGCAUCUGGAGAAUAUCCGUCACACCGGGAGAAAAGAUCAUUCUGAACUUCACCUCCAUGGAUCUAUACAGGAGUCACCUGUGUUGGUAUGACCAUGUGGAAAUCAGGGAUGGAUAUUGGAGGAAGGCACCACUCAAAGGCCGAUUUUGUGGCGACAAACUGCCCGAGCCAAUCAUCUCCACCGACAGUCGGUUGUGGAUUGAGUUCCGCAGCAGCAGCAACUGGGUGGGAAAAGGUUUCUCUGCCGUUUAUGAGGCCAUCUGUGGUGGGGAGGUGAAGAAGGACAGCGGCCAGAUCCAGUCCCCCAACUACCCUGACGACUACAGGCCUAAUAAAGGAUGUGUAUGGAAGGUUACUGUAGCUCAGGGCUACCACGUGGGCCUUACCUUCCAGUCCUUUGAAAUCGAGAGACAUGACAGUUGCGCAUACGACUAUCUGGAGGUGCGUGACGGAAACUCCGAGAACAGCCCCUUGCUGGGCCGCUUCUGUGGCUAUGACAAACCAGAUGACAUCAAAACCAGCUCCAACCAGCUAUGGAUGAAAUUUGUUUCAGAUGGCUCCGUCAACAAGGCCGGAUUUGCAGCCAACUUCUUCAAAGAGAUGGAUGAGUGCUCCAAGCCGGACAACGGUCGCUGUGAGCAACGCUGUCUCAACACGCUGGGCAGCUACAAGUGUGCCUGUGACCCGGGCUAUGAGCUUGCUGCUGACAAGCGCAGCUGCGAGGCUGCCUGCGGAGGCUUUAUCACCAAACUGAAUGGCUCCAUCACCAGCCCUGGUUGGCCCAGAGAGUACCCCCCCAACAAGAACUGCAUCUGGCAGCUGGUCGCCCCCACGCAGUACCGCAUCACUCUGCUCUUUGACGUCUUCGAGACUGAGGGCAAUGACGUUUGCAAGUAUGACUACGUGGAGGUGCGCAGUGGACUUUCACCAGAUUCAAGGCUGCACGGGAAGUUCUGUGGCACCGAGAAACCCGAAGCCAUCACCUCUCAGUACAACAACAUGCGCAUUGAGUUCAAGUCUGACAAUACGGUGUCCAAAAAGGGAUUUAAAGCACAGUUCUUCUCAGACAAAGACGAGUGCUCCAAGGAGAACGGUGGCUGUCAGCACGAAUGUGUCAACACUUUCGGAAGCUACAGCUGCCAGUGCAGGAGCGGCUUUGUGCUGCACGAGAACAAGCAUGACUGCAAAGAGGCUGGCUGUGAUCACACAGUAACCAGUGUGAGCGGUACCAUCACGAGCCCCAACUGGCCGGAUAAAUAUCCGAGCAAGAAGGCGUGCACCUGGUCGCUCACCACCACGCCAGGCCACCGCAUCAAAAUAGCUUUCAAUGAGCUCGACAUGGAGGCUCAUCUGGAGUGCGCUUACGACCACAUCGAGAUCUACGACGGGAAAGACGGCAAAGCUCAAAGUCUCGGCCGCUUCUGCGGCACCAAGAAGCCGCAGCCCAUCGCCUCCAGCGGCAAUAAGCUCUUCAUCCGCUUUUUCUCGGACAACUCCGUGCAGAAGAAAGGCUUUGAGGCGUCCCACUCUGCAGAGUGCGGCGGUCGCCUGAAGGCUGAGGUGAAGACCAAGGACCUGUUCUCCCACGCCCAAUUCGGGGACAACAACUACCCCGGAGCCUCUGACUGUCAGUGGGUCAUCUCGGCCGAGAAAGGCUACGGCGUGGAGCUCAUCUUCCAGACCUUCGAGAUCGAGGAGGAGGCCGACUGCGGCUACGACUACAUGGAGCUCUUUGACGGCGCUGACACCAAGUCUCCGCGGCUGGGCCGUUACUGUGGCUCAGGGCCUCCUGAGGAGAUCUACUCCGCCGGCGAUUCCAUUGUAAUCAAGUUCCGCUCGGACGACACCAUCAACAAGAAAGGAUUCCACGUGCGCUACACCAGCACCAAGUUCCAGGACACGCUGCACUCUCGCAAGUGACGAGCGGGGGCCGCAAGGGGCCGCGCGGGGCAAAGGGCCACCCGGAGGGGCCCCAAGGGGAGGCUCCCGCCUAGCGCUCGGAAACCUUCGGCCACCCACGGCAAUCAGACGCGACAGAUCAGCCGCAAGACCACCACCAAGCGCACCUCAGCUCCCAGGGGCUCCAGCUCCCCCCGCAGACUGUGCCUCCUAACAAAUGGCACAACAAGGAAACCAGUGGAUUCUCAGGACCCGUAGGAAAAGGCAGGCAUCAGCCGGAUCGAUUCCUGCUCUUGUCACGCCGCACCCUCCUCAUCAUCAUCAUCACACGAAGGACUUGACGUGAGGUGUUGGCCAAGUCGUGGGAGAGCAAGAAGUGUACACGGGGAUCAACAGCAGCGUUAUUUGUAACGAGCGACGCGACGGCCGCACUCUCACUGUUAGCAUUAACAAAGGAACAUAAGGAAGCUCAUUAAAGGACUAAUCAAUGAAAUGUGGUCUAUGGUCUUCUGGUUGGUCAUUACUGUACCUCCAUGAUGUGUCAAGUGUGUGUGUAUGCGCGUGUGGGUGUAUGAUCCUUCAAAAGGGAACGUGCUUUUUUUUUUUUUUUUCCUCAGCUUGAACCAGUUAGCACUUUACAGUGAAUUGUUCCAAAAUCAUUGAGCUUCUAUGGAUUUUUGUGAAAUGCAAUGCCAGUUCACUUAUUUUUAAAUGCAUUUUAUCUCUUAUUCGAAAACUGUUUUUAUUUUUAUUUUGAAUUGUUUUCCAGUCGCUCCAUUUGAGUUCCUCGGGCAUACUUGAACAUUGUGUGUGCCCUGUGACGUGGGGUAAUAAAGAUAUGACUUAUG